rnacentral:rRNA from 1 species
UACAGAGGUCUCAAGCGUUGUUCGGAUUCAUUGGGCGUAAAGGGCGCGUAGGCGGUCACGACAAGUCAGUUGUGAAAUCUCCGGGCUUAACUCGGAACGGUCAACUGAUACUGUCGGACUAGAGUGCAGAAGGGGCAACUGGAAUUCUCGGUGUAGCGGUGAAAUGCGUAGAUAUCGAGAGGAACACCUGCGGCGAAGGCGGGUUGCUGGGCUGACACUGACGCUGAGGCGCGAAAGCUAGGGGAGCGAACGGG